rnacentral:rRNA from 1 species
UACGUAGGGUGCAAGCGUUGUCCGGAAUUAUUGGGCGUAAAGAGCUCGUAGGCGGUUUGUCGCGUCUGCUGUGAAAACUCGGGGCUUAACUCCGGGCCUGCAGUGGGUACGGGCAGACUAGAGUGCGGUAGGGGAGACUGGAAUUCCUGGUGUAGCGGUGAAAUGCGCAGAUAUCAGGAGGAACACCGGUGGCGAAGGCGGGUCCCUGGGCUAACACUGACGCUGAGGCGCGAAAGCGCGGGGAGCGAACGGG